rnacentral:sRNA from 12 species
CCUUUGGAGUGUACAAGAACUUGUUAGUAGAUUUAAUCGAAAGCAUACACGAUGAAUAAGGAA